UACGGGGGGAGCAAGCGUUGUUCGGAUUUACUGGGCGUAAAGAGCGCGUAGGCGGUCUGUUAAGUGUAGAGUGAAAUCUCCAGGGCUCAACCCGGAAACUGCUCUGCAUACUGGCAGACUGGAGUGAUGCAGAGGUUUGUGGAAUUCCUGGUGUAACGGUGAAAUGUGUUGAUAUCAGGAGGAACACCCAUGGCGAAGGCAGCAAACUGGGCAUUAACUGACGCUGAGGCGCGAAAGCGUGGGUAGCAAACAGG
rnacentral:rRNA from 1 species